rnacentral:rRNA from 1 species
AUUGAACGCUGGCGGCAGGCCUAACACAUGCAAGUCGAGCGGAUGAGUGGAGCUUGCUCCAUGAUUCAGCGGUGGACGGGUGAGUAAUGCCUAGGAAUCUGCCUGGUAGUGGGGGACAACGUUUCGAAAGGAACGCUAAUACCGCAUACGUCCUACGGGAGAAAGCAGGGGACCUUCGGGCCUUGCGCUAUCAGAUGAGCCUAGGUCGGAUUAGCUAGUUGGUGAGGUAAUGGCUCACCAAGGCGACGAUCCGUAACUGGUCUGAGAGGAUGAUCAGUCACACUGGAACUGAGACACGGUCCAGACUCCUACGGGAGGCAGCAGUGGGGAAUAUUGGACAAUGGGCGAAAGCCUGAUCCAGCCAUGCCGCGUGUGUGAAGAAGGUCUUCGGAUUGUAAAGCACUUUAAGUUGGGAGGAAGGGUAGUAACCUAAUACGUUGCUACUUUGACGUUACCGACAGAAUAAGCACCGGCUAAC